AUUGAACGCUGGCGGCAUGCUUUACACAUGCAAGUCGAACGGUAACAGGCCGCAAGGUGCUGACGAGUGGCGAACGGGUGAGUAAUGCAUCGGAACGUGCCCAGUCGUGGGGGAUAACGCAGCGAAAGCUGCGCUAAUACCGCAUACGAUCUAUGGAUGAAAGCGGGGGACCGUAAGGCCUCGCGCGAUUGGAGCGGCCGAUGUCAGAUUAGGUAGUUGGUGGGGUAAAGGCUCACCAAGCCAACGAUCUGUAGCUGGUCUGAGAGGAUGAUCAGCCACACUGGGACGGAGACACGGCCCAGACUCCUACGGGAGGCAGCAGUGGGGAAUUUUGGACAAUGGGGGCAACCCUGAUCCAGCCAUUCCGCGUGAGUGAAGAAGGCCUUCGGGUUGUAAAGCUCUUUUGUCGGGGACGAAACGGUUUUGGCUAAUAUCCAAGACUACUGACGGUACCCGAAGAAUAAGCACCGGCUAACUACGUGCCAGCAGCCGCCGUAAAAC
rnacentral:rRNA from 1 species